CAGUGUUCAAACAGAUACAGAAUAGAUGGGAAUGAGCGCUGGUGGUGGGGAACAGGACGCUCACUUGAAGAGGCCUCCCAUGAUCAUCAUCCCCUCCCUCCUCCCCCUCUUCCUCCUCCACCACCACCUCCACCGCCUCCUCCUCCUUCUUCACCUCCUUGUCCCCCUCCUCCUCUUCCCCUCCCCCUCCUCUAUGAUAUGUAAACGAGCGGUUAUGGUGGGAGCAGGACACUCCCUUGAAGAGGCCUCCCAUGACCAUCAUCUCGCCCAGGCGGGGCUCCACGGUGGGCCACGGGGCGUCCCAGAGAGGGCAGCUCGUCGUUGCUGUCCACAGCGUCCACUUCUGGUGGACCAACCCCAAGGAAACAUCAACAAUCCCCACAGUAAGUAAGAGUCGAUGACGUACACCGCGUCGUUGAGGGUAAUGCUGGUCUCUGCCAUGUUGGUGGACAGGACGACCUGCAGGAGGCAGGGAACAACAACAGGAGAUGGACCGGCAAGGGUGGAUUCCAGGCAGCUGGGCAGGCAGAGGAGCACACGGGGUGGAUGGCAGGCAGCUACGGGGUUGGUGAUCCUGGGGCGAGGACAACGCAGAGAGUUAAAGGUCCCAUGACAUGCCACCUGUUAAAGUCUCCAGUCACCCCUUCAUCAGUGGGGAGGGAGGAUAUUACCACACACACACACAACAAUGGAGUCUCCAUUCACCCCUUCAUCAGUGUGUGGAGAGGUUAUUUCCACACACACAACAGAGUCUGAACACAUACGCAUAUACUAAAAUAAAAGUAAGUAAUCUGGUGGGCUAUAUAUAUACACACACACACGCUCACAUACACACAUUAACAUACGCACAGACACAUUACAGAGUUACAAUUAUGUUUAUUGAUUUACUCUAGAAAUCUCUGUGAAGUUCCUUCCUUCAUGAAACAUAGAUAAUAUAACUGUCAUCAGAGUUAGUGAGAAGCUUCUACUGCUAACCCUCCAACGUGUUUCAGGACAUUGGUUUAACUUAUCUAAAUAAUUUGUAGUUCAAGUUGUGCGAGGGCGCACUAUCAGUGAGGAUUGAUUCAACACCAGUAAGACACCAGUGGGACACCAUUGAGAGACCAGUGGGACACCAGUGGGACACCAGUAAGACACCAGUAAGACACCAGUGAGACACCAGUGGGACACCAGUGAGACACCAGUCGGACACCAUGCAGUGAGACACCAGGGGGACACCAGUGAGACACCAGUGAGACACCAGUGGGACACCAGUCAGACACCAGUGGGACGUUCUGCCAUUCUUCCAGAACAAACAAAGGACUGAGGCCUCCUCAGUGCUGCCCCUGCUGGCCGGACCUCCACACUGCAGUCAUGUCCAGUAGAUAGACGAUAGCCCAGAGCAGCGGGCCGCACCCUCAUUCUCACCGCUCCCCUGAUCCUCAC